CCCCUACUCAUCCGCCAGGACCCUUCAAACGGCAUCUAGGGGAGGCCUUCCCUGAUUGCCUACCGUUUCACAGCACCUUCCUGGCCCUGCGCAGGCCUCUGCUGUGCAGGUUCCCUGCUGUGAGGGCCUCGGGGGCCUGUCCCUGAAUGCCCGACGCCUGGCACGUGUCCCUGCUGUGGAUGAGGAUGUGAAUGUCAGAACCCUCCUGACAGGGGGAGGACCAGCCCUAGGUGUGUGUGUAUGACAAUCCCAUGCUCGUAUCUAAGUAUUUUCUGCAGUCCAGGGGGCUGGGCCCCACUCUGAGCGGCUGGGAGACUCACCCUCCCCCGUCCAGGCGGGAUGCUUCCUUCUGGAAGCUUUCUUUCCCAGGGCCCUCUUCAUGCCCACGCUCUUCCCCCUCCCCACCAGGUGCCUUUAAACGGCCAGAUGCUGCAUCACCCCCAGGACAGGCCCCCUGCCCUCAGCCUGCCAGCUCCUGUGACCACGGAGCUGGAGGCGCGGGGCGGAGCUGUCGAGACGCCCAGGCCCAUGGGGGAGGAGGCCACGGCCUCGGCAGGACACGGGCGGAUGACCGGGGGCAUCGGGCAGUGAGGGCGGCGGCCCCCUCCCAGCACCCGCGCGACGCCACCAUGCGGUCUGGGACAGGACACCCCUGAGAGCGCCGGCCCCCUCCCCUACCGCCCCUCUGUCCCUCCAGGGGCUGCUGCCCAGCCCCCCCCGGCCCCCAGUCCCCCAGGGCAGGCAGCGCAGGUU
rnacentral:lncRNA from 1 species